UACGGAGGGUGCAAGCGUUAAUCGGAAUUACUGGGCGUAAAGCGUGUGUAGGCUGCUCCGAUAGUCGGAUGUGAAAGCCCUGGGCUCAACCUAGGAAGUGCAUUCGAUACUCCGGAGCUUGAGUCCUGGAGAGGAAGGCGGAAUUCUCGGUGUAGAGGUGAAAUUCGUAGAUAUUCGCAAGAACACCAGUGGCGAAGGCGGCUCACUGGCCCGAUACUGACGCUGAGGCACGAAAGCGUGGGGAGCAAACAGG
rnacentral:rRNA from 1 species